CGGCCAUAUCAUGUUGAAACAACCAAUUCUCGUCCUAUCAUCGCAGUUAAGCAAUGUUGAGCCUAGUUAAUACUUUGAUGGGUGACCGCUUGGUAAUACCAGGUGUUGUAG